GGGACAGGGCCCAACAUUUAGAGGGAAAUCAAAGAGGGGUGAGGUGGUAAACCAUGGGGACAGAGCCCAACAUUUAGAGGGAAGUCAAAGAGGGGUGGUAGUACAUGGGGACAGAGCCCAACAUUUAGAGGGGUGAGGUGGUAAUACAUGGGGACAGAGCCCAACAUUUAGAGGGAAAUCAAAGAGGGGUGAGGUGGUAAACCAUGGGGACAGAGCCCAACAUUUAGAGGGGUGAGGUGGUAAACCAUGGGGACAGGGCCCAACAUUUAGAGGGGUGAGGUGGUAAUACAUGGGGACAGAGCCCAACAUUUAGAGGGAAAUCAAAGAGGGGUGAGGUGGUAAACCAUGGGGACAGAGCCCAACAUUUAGAGGGGCGCGGUGGUAAUACAUGGGGACAGGGUCCAACAUUUAGAGGGAAGUCAAAGAGGGGCGCGGUGGUAAACCAUGGGGACAGAGCCCAACCUGUCCCACGCCUCCCUCUAACGACCGCUAGAUGUGUGUGUGUUCUAAUCGCAUUUCAUUAGUGAAAUGUAUAGAGCCGACGUGGACUAGGUACUGGUACCCCCUGUAUAGAGCCGACGUGGACUAGGUACUGGUACCCCCUGUAUAGAGCCGACGUGGACUAGGUACUGGUACCCCCUGUAUAGAGCCGACGUAGACUAGGUACUGGUACCCCCUGUAUAGAGCCGACGUAGACUAGGUACUGGUACCCCCUGUAUAGAGCCGACGUAGACUAGGUACUGGUACCCCCUGUAUAGAGCCGACGUAGACUAGGUACAGGUACCCCCUGUAUAGAGUCGACGUAG
ensembl:lncRNA